AGUGGCAGACGGGUGAGUAAUGUAUAGGAAUCUACCUAGUAGUACGGAAUAAUUGUUGGAAACGGCAACUAAUACCGUAUACGCCCUACGGGGGAAAAAUUUAUUGCUAUUAGAUGAGCCUAUAUUAGAUUAGUUAGUUGGUGAGGUAAAGGCUUACCAAGACAAUGAUCUAUAGCUGAUCUGAGAGGAUGAUCAGCCACACUGGAACUGAGAUACGGUCCAGACUCCUACGGGAGGCAGCAGUGGGGAAUAUUGGACAAUGGGCGAAAGCCUGAUCCAGCCAUGCCGCAUGAGUGAAGAAGGCCUUCGGGUUGUAAAGCUCUUUUAGUGAGGAAGAUAAUGACGGUACUCACAGAAGAAGUCCUGGCUAACUCCGUGCCAGCAGCCGCGGUAAUACGGAGAGGGCUAGCGUUAUUCGGAAUCAUUGGGCGUAAAGGGCGCGUAGGCGGGUUAGUAAGUUAAAAGUGAAAUCCCAAGGCUCAACCUUGGAACUGCUUUUAAAACUGCUAGUCUAGAGAUUGAAAGAGGAUAGAGGAAUUCCUAGUGUAGAGAUGAAAUUCGUAAAUAUUAGGAGGAACACCAGUGGCGAANGCGUCUAUCUGGUUCAAAUCUGACGCUGAGGCGCGAAGGCG
rnacentral:rRNA from 1 species